GUAAUAGCUCACUAGUCGAGAGGUCCUGCGCCGAAAAUGUCCGGGGCUGAAACACGACACCGAAGCUUGGGAAUCCUACGGGAUUGGUAGAGGAGCAUUGAAGACGGGACGAAGCGUAACCGUAAGGAUACGUGGACUGUCUUGAAGAGAGAAUGCCGGAAUGAGUAGCGAGAAUGAAGUGAGAAUCUUCAUGGCCGAAUAUCUAAGGUUUCCAGGGUAAAGCUGAUCUGCCCUGGGUAAGUCGGGACCUAAGGCGAGGUCGAAAGACGUAGCCGAUGGACAACAGGUUGAAAUUCCUGUACUGCAUUAAAUCAGAACUGUGGGGACACAGAAGGAAGGCAUGAGCCGGAAAAGGAAAAUCCGGUGCAAGCAUGGGAGGGGUAUGACAGGCAAAUCCGUCAUGCAACCCGAGAAUGUGACGCGGAGCGAACAAAAGUAGCGAAGCAUGCUUACCGGCUGUCGAGAAAAGCCGCUAUUGUGUUUAAUGUACCCGUACCGUAAACCGACACAGGUGGAUGAGGAGAGAAUCCUAAGGCCGGCGGGAGAAGCAUUGUUAAGGAACUCGGCAAAAUGACCCCGUAACUUCGGGAGAAGGGGUGCCUGCGAGAGCAGGCCGCAGAGAAUAGGCUCAAGCAACUGUUUAGCAAAAACACAGGUCUAUGCAAAACCGAAAGGUGAGGUAUAUGGGCUGACGCCUGCCCGGUGCUGGAAGGUUAAGAGGAGAGGUUAGCGCAAGCGAAGCUUUGAAUUUAAGCCCCAGUAAACGGCGGCCGUAACUAUAACGGUCCUAAGGUAGCGAAAUUCCUUGUCGGGUAAGUUCCGACCCGCACGAAAGGCGUAAUGAUUUGAGCGCUGUCUCGACAAUGCACCCGGUGAAAUUGAAAUACCAGUGAAGAUGCUGGUUACCUGCGCCAGGACGGAAAGACCCCAUGGAGCUUUACUCUAGUUUGAUACUGGGAUUCGGUAUUGCAUGUACAGGAUAGGUGGGAGGCUGUGAAGCGAUGACGCCAGUUGUCGCAGAGCCGCUGUUGGGAUACCACCCCUGCAGUACUGGGUUUCUAACCUGCGGCCGUAAUCCGGCCGGGGGACAAUGUCUGACGGGGAGUUUGACUGGGGCGGUCGCCUGUAGGCUGGUAUUCGGAGUGUAAUUUGAAUAUUUGUUGUGAAUUCUGCAAAAAAGCACCUCCUGGUUUUUAUAUCAAAAAAGUUCGUCUAUCAGUCAGAAAUUCGUCGAAGCACAUUCUCUGAUUUUAGCCGAAUAUGCCUCUCGACGAAUUCUGUUCACCACCCGAUAUUUUAUAGACUGAUAAAAAGUAGUAAAACUAACGUGGACGAAUUAACACUCAAAUGUAAGAGAUAUUAUAUCAUGGAAAUUUAAAAUUGUAUAUAUGAUACGAACAUUAGUUCUUCAAAAAUUCAUUUACAUUUAUCAUUGUAUCCAGAACAAUUUCCGUAUCCAGCUCCUUCUUUUCCGGUAAUACUUCUUCCAUAUAAGAAAGCAAUUCCGGCGGAAUCUCCUCAGCUAUAAUAUUUCCAUUGUGGUAUGUGGAGCAUCCGUUGCGCUUAUUAGAAUAAUAUACUUUUACAUAAAAUAUC
rnacentral:rRNA from 1 species